AAGCUAGACGCAGCAACGCCGCGUGGGUGAUGAAGGCCUUCGGGUCGUAAAACCCUUUUCUGGGGGAAGAGUAAGGACGGUACCCCAGGAAUAAGCCUCGGCUAACUAUGUGCCAGCAGCCGCGGUAAUACAUAGGAGGCAAGCGUUAUCCGGAUUUACUGGGCGUAAAGAGCGUUGAGGCGGCUUCGUAAGUUGGACGUGAAAGCUCCCGGCUUAACUGGGAGAGGCCGUUCAAUACUGCGGGGCUUGAGGGCAGCAGAGGGGGGUGGAAUUUCCGGUGUAGUGGUGAAAUGCGUAGAUAUCGGAAGGAACACCAGUGGCGAAGGCGGCCCCCUGGGCUGCUCCUGACGCUGAAGGCGAAAGCUAGGGGAGCGAACGGGAUUAGAAACCCCGGUAGUCCUAGCCGUAAACGAUGGAUACUAGGUGUAGGAGGUUAAAAUUCCUUCUGUGCCGGAGCUAACGCGUUAAGUAUCCCGCCUGGGGAGUACGGUCGCAAGGCUAAAACUCAAAGGAAUUGACGGGGGCCCGCACAAGCAGCGGAGCGUGUGGUUUAAUUCGAUGCAACACGAAGAACCUUACCAGGGCUUGACAUGUAGGUAGUAGUGAAGCGAAAGCGGAACGAUCCUUCGGGAAGCCUACACAGGUGCUGCGUGGCUGUCGUCAGCUCGUGCCGUGAGGUGUUAGGUUAAGUCCUGUAACGAGCGCAACCCCUGCCGUUAGUUACAAGUGUCUAACGGGACUGCCCGGCAAAACUGGGAGGAAGGUGGGGAUGACGUCAAGUCAGCAUGGCCUUUAUGUCCUGGGCUACACACACGCUACAAUGGCCGGUACAAUGGGUUGCCAAGCCGCGAGGCGGAGCCAAUCCUCUAAAGCCGGUCUCAGUUCGGAUUGUAGGCUGCAACCCGCCUGCAUGAAGUUGGAGUUGC
rnacentral:rRNA from 1 species